rnacentral:rRNA from 1 species
UGGGGAAUAUUGGACAAUGGGGGCAACCCUGAUCCAGCCAUGCCGCGUGUGUGAAGAAGGCCUUCGGGUUGUAAAGCACUUUUGUCCGGAAAGAAAAGCUCUGGGUUAAUACCCCGGGGUCAUGACGGUACCGGAAGAAUAAGCACCGGCUAACUUCGUGCCAGCAGCCGCGGUAAUACGAAGGGUGCAAGCGUUACUCGGAAUUACUGGGCGUAAAGCGUGCGUAGGUGGUUCGUUAAGUCUGUCGUGAAAGCCCCGGGCUCAACCUGGGAAUGGCGAUGGAUACUGGCGGGCUAGAGUGCGGUAGAGGAGAGUGGAAUUCCCGGUGUAGCAGUGAAAUGCGUAGAGAUCGGGAGGAACAUCAGUUGCGAAGGCGGCUCUCUGGACCAGCACUGACACUGAGGCACGAAAGCGUGGGGAGCAAACA